rnacentral:rRNA from 1 species
UUAAAACAGUUAUAGUUUAUUUGAUAAUUGAAUUAUACAUGGAUAUCCGUGGUAAUUCUAGAGUUAAUACAUGCAUUAAAACCUGAUUUAAGGGUUGUAUUUAUUAGAUAUCAAACCAAUAUUCCUUCUGGUCUAUUGUGAUGAUUCAUAGUAACUGAUCGAAGCUUAGCUAGUCUAAGCUAAAUCAUUCAAGUUUCUGCCCUAUCAGCUUUCGAUGGUAGUGUAUUGGACUACCAUGGCAGUCACGGGUAACGGGGAAUUAGGGUUCGAUUCCGGAGAGGGAGCCUGAGAAACGGCUACCACAUCUAAGGAAGGCAGCAGGCGCGUAAAUUACCCAAUCCUGACUCAGGGAGGUAGUGACAAGAAAUAACAACUCGGGGCCUCACGGCUUACGAGAUUGCAAUGAGAACAAUUUAAACCACUUAUCUAGGAACAAUUGGAGGG